AUAGAGGCUUUUGCUUCGGUACCACAUGCAGUCUAACUGAAUCAUUAGAACCCGUCGGUUCAUCACUGUAUACAAGCACUCCGGUAUCGGUGACGGCACGCUAUGGCACGUGGAAUUUUUAUUGUCUGCAUGAUCGCUGCCGUGGCAAGAACCGCACUGUCGGCACCGAAAGCUAGAGUUUCUAGUAAGAAUAUUCAAGAUCGCAUACAGCAGUUAGCGAAGGACU